rnacentral:rRNA from 1 species
AGAAAAUAGAUACCCCGGUAGUCCACGCUGUAAACUAUGAAUGCUAGCUGUGAGAAGUAUCGACCCUUCUCGUAGCGAAAGCUAACGCGUUAAGCAUUCCGCCUGUGGAGUACGGUCGCAAGACUAAAACAUAAAGGAAUUGACGGGGACCCGCACAAGCGGUGGAGCGUGUUGUUUAAUUCGAUGGUAAGCGAAGAACCUUACCCAGGCUUGACAUCCUGCUAAUUUCUCCGAAAGGAGAGAGUGCCUUCGGGCCGCAGUGACAGGUGUUGCAUGGCCGUCGUCAGCUCGUGUUGUGAAACGUUAGGUUAAGU